rnacentral:rRNA from 1 species
AUUGAACGCUGGCGGCAUGCCUUACACAUGCAAGUCGAACGGCAGCACGGGUGCUUGCACCUGGUGGCGAGUGGCGAACGGGUGAGUAAUACAUCGGAACAUGUCCUGUAGUGGGGGAUAGCCCGGCGAAAGCCGGAUUAAUACCGCAUACGAUCCACGGAUGAAAGCGGGGGACCUUCGGGCCUCGCGCUAUCGGGUUGGCCGAUGGCUGAUUAGCUAGUUGGUGGGGUAAAGGCCUACCAAGGCGACGAUCAGUAGCUGGUCUGAGAGGACGACCAGCCACACUGGAACUGAGACACGGCCCAGACUCCUACGGGAGGCAGCAGUGGGGAAUUUUGGACAAUGGGCGAAAGCCUGAUCCAGCAAUGCCGCGUGUGUGAAGAAGGCCUUCGGGUUGUAAAGCACUUUUGUCCGGAAAGAAAUCCUUGACUCUAAUACAGUCGUGUGAUGACGGUACCGGAAGAAUAAGCACCGGCUAACUACGUG